rnacentral:rRNA from 1 species
GACGAACGCUGGCGGCGUGCUUAACACAUGCAAGUCGAACGGAAAGGCCCUGCUUUUGUGCGGUGCUCGAGUUGCGACCGGGUGAGUAACCCGCUUGUACCCUGUCCUUGCCUUUGGGAUAACUUCAUGCAAUUUGGGCUCAUACCGGAUAGGAGCUCCCGCUGCAUGGUGGGGGCUGGAAAGUUUCGGCGGUUGGGGGUGGAAUCGCGUCCUAUCAGCUUGUUGGUUGGGUGGUGUCUUACCAAGGCUUUGACGGGUAGCCGGCCUGAGAGGGUGACCGGCCACAUUGGGACUGGGAUAAGGCCCAGACUCCUACCGGAGGCAGCGGUGGAGAAGAUUGCACUAGAGAAGGAAGCCUGAUGCAGCAACGCCACGUGGGGGAAUACGGCAAUCGGGUUGGAAACCACUUUCGCCUGUGACGAGACGUGAGUGACGGUAAUGGGUAAAGAAGCACCGGCUAACUACGUG